GGCUUCGUAGCUCAGCUGGUAGAGCGCUUGUCGCAUUCAGGUAUGCUAUUUCUGGCGCUCGUUCUAAUCCAGCCAAAGCCC